rnacentral:lncRNA from 1 species
GGAAUGGAGAGGUUCAGCAAACAGAAGGUCUGGAUUGAUGGGCAGCACAUCCUUACUUCACUUUCUCAAAACCGCCUUAAGUCAUUUCCCAGACUGUUUUGGAUCCACUCCCUAAAAGGCUUCUUUUUUUGACAAAUGGUGCCUACAUUUCAUUCCCUCUUCUCCUCAAGAGAAGCAAAGUAGCUGAACCCAAAGGGGCUUAGAGCCAGGAAUUCUGAGUGCUGUAAUUCCAGCCCAGCCACUUGGAUGAGUCCCUCCCUGGGUCCUGGUAUUUGAGCUCGCACAGCAUUCAUUUACAGCCAGAUAGGCUUCUGGGUGUUCUCCAAUCAUCUCUGUUCUCUCUGCUCUUCUUUCAACCUUUGGGAAGGAGCUUCUGGAACACACACCUUCCUAUUUGAAGAAGGUGCUGCCAGUACCAAGGCAGUUAUUUAGAACGCAAGUAAUCUUUCAUUUCAUUUAUUUGGUCAACAUUUAUUAAUCACCUACUGUGUGCAAAGCCUGGUGCUAGAUCUUGGGGGAAGAUAUAAAAUAUGGUUAAGACAGAGUUUCUGCCCUCACGAAGUUUAUACUAUGGUAUGCUAAUGACACCUUAGUCUAGAGGAAAGUGGAUUGGAUUUCAAGAUAGAACAUAUGUUUAGAAAAUAUGUCACUUGGCUCUGUGACUUUCUGUAUGACCUUGGGUGAGUCACUUCCUCUCUGGGUUUCAGUUUCCUCAUCUGUAAAUGGAAGGGAGGGGGUUGUAUGGAUCAGACGUAAUUAAUAUCUAAGGUCCUUUCAAGAGCUCUAAGAUCUUAUGAUCUCCUAUGAAACAACUCAGGUAACUACAAUAGACAAUAUUACCUGGCAAGUACAUUAGAAACAUGAAAAAAAAAACCCCAAUGCUACUCAAGGUCUGAGGAGGCAAGGUUGUUACAGACAUGAGUGAUUAGGGAAGGCUUCUUAGGAGAGGUGGUAUCUGAGUUGAGAUCUAAAGAACAGAUCUUCAACAGGUGAAGAGGAAAAGAGAGUCGUUCUAGGCCUGAGGGGCAGUAAAAGCAAAGCAGAGCUGUAACUAGGAAUUUUUAUACCU